GCCUGGGUGGCUCAGUCGGUUGAGCAUCCGGCUUCGGCUCAGGUCAUGAUCUCGCGGUUUGUGGGUUCGAGCCCCGCGUCGGGCU
rnacentral:tRNA from 1 species